rnacentral:lncRNA from 1 species
CCGAGACAUUCCUGCAAAUCCAUGUUAGUAAAUAAAUACAAAAACCAACAACAUAAAGCAUAAACUUGAAUUAAAACUGUAAUAGUAAUUGCUAUUAAAAUUGAAAACAAAAUCUUGAAAGGAAAAAUUUAUACAUUACAACAUAGAAUUAUUUUCUACCAAAAGAAAAUAUAAAAAAAUUUCUAGAUGUUUGCCUCUCCAUGAGUCUUGAAGCUCUAAACACAAGUUUAACAUUCAUAAACCAUAGAUUCUACCUGUAUGAAUAUGAAGCUAUUCUCAUGAGGAAGUAUUAAAAGUCAUUUUAACCUGUACAAAUAUAUAAAUACGUUAUAAAUAUAUAAGAACACGAUAAGAGCAGACCUACCAUGAAUGACGUAUGAUAUCCAUGGAUAAUUUGUCCUUGAAAUGAUUCUGGAUAUGACUGGAAUUGUUUUUGGGGAAAAAAAAGGUACAAUUUAUUAGACAAAUAUAUGGAGGUAGAUGAAAAUAAAUUUUAAUAAAUACAUAACAUAAAGUAUCAAGAGAAGAAUUUACCAUUAUGAAAGUUGUACUAACUAGUGGUGAUAUGCUUCUAGAUUCCAAUUCAACAGCUUGAAUUAUACAUCAAAU